rnacentral:rRNA from 1 species
AGAGAGAGACAUGCGCGCAUAUCAAUAAGCGGAGGAAAAGAAACUAACAAGGAUUCCCUUAGUAACGGCGAGUGAAGCGGGAAGAGCUCAAAUUUGAAAUCUUCAAGGUUUUACCUUGACGAAUUGUAGUUUAAAGAAGUGUUUUCUGCUGAAGUUUUGGUAAAAGUUCUUUGGAAUAGGACAUCAUAGAGGGUGAGAAUCCCGUAUUUGACCAUUAUUUCAGCUUUGUGAUACACUUUCAAGAGUCGGAUUGUUUGGGAAUGCAGUCCAAAAUGGGUGGUAAAUUUCAUCUAAAGCUAAAUAUUGGCGAGAGACCGAUAGCGAACAAGUACCGUGAGGGAAAGAUGAAAAGAACUUUGAAAAGAGAGUUAAACAGUACGUGAAAUUGUCAAAAGGGAAGCGUUUGACACCAGUGUUGUUUUCUCGAAAAUCAAUUAAAAAUGGCUCGAUUUUGUAUUGUUGAGACCUUAAAAGCUCACUGUACAUUUUUCGUGUCUUUUUUAAUGCACUUUUCGUUUAACAAGUCAACAUCAGUUUCUUUUGUUGUAAAAGGGUCAUUGGAAGGUGGCUUUCUUUUCGGAGAAAGUGUUUAUAAGCCUUUGGCCUCUGCAAUCGGAAGAGACUGAGGUCUGCAGCGUAGACUCUUCGGGGUUAGAUACAUUUGUGCUAAGUUAUAGCUUUUUAUAGACAACUUGUUGACUAUAAUUAGUCUUGUAGCUUACUCGCUUAUGCUAUUUUACCUACGCUUAGGAUGUUGAAGUCAUCGUAUCGCGC